UAAAUGCCUUUGUCCAAUACCGGCACUUCAAAAUGGAAGGCAUACAUUGCCUCAGAGACCUGCUCCUUCCCGGAGAUUGGAUGGUCAAACUAGACUUGCAGGAUGCAUAUCUGACAGUCCCGAUAGCGGCAAUACACAGAGACCUACUCCAGUUCUUCUGGGGAACCAAGAAGUGGCGGUUCACGUGCCUUCCCUUCGGUCUGUCCUCUGCCCCCUGGUGUUUCACGAAGAUACUCAAACCAGUGGUGGCCUUCCUCAGACUACACGGAGUCCGCCUCAUCAUCUACCUGGACGACACCCUCAUACUCUCCGGGACACGGUCCCUUCUGCUAGAUCACUUAAAGUGGACCCUACAUCUUAUCCAGAACCUGGGCUUCCUUGUAAACUGGAAGAAAUCGGUUCUAAUCCCCUCGCAACAAAUGGAAUUCCUUGGAUUCUGAGUCGACUCCGUUCUACAGAUCCUACGCCUCCCGGCGGAGAAGAUGUCCAACAUCAAAAAGGAGACUUAUGCACCGACCAGACAUAUCCCUACGCCAACUGGCACGGGUCAUUGGCCUGUUGGCAGCCUCUAUCCAAGCGAUUUUCCCAGGCCCGCUCCACUACCGAGCGUUACAGCGCCUGAAACCAACCUGUCUACGAAGUGGUCACUUGUACAAAUCUCACGUUACCCUGGACAUGGAAUCCAGGGAGGAACUGAACUGGUGAUGGAGUCGGACCUGGUGAUACAGUCAGACGCCAGCUUACAUGGCUGGGGCGCGCGCUGCGGC